AACGAACGCUGGCGGCGUGCCUAACACAUGCAAGUCGAACGUGAUUGGAAGCUUGCUUCCAUGAAAGUGGCGCACGGGUGAGUAACGCGUAGAUAAUCUACCUGAUGAUCUGGGAUAACACUUCGAAUGGGGUGCUAAUACCGGAUAAGCCCACGAGCUCUUUGGAGCAUGCGGGAAAAGGGGGGGACCUUCGGGCCUUCCGUCAUCAGAUGAGUCUGCGUACCAUUAGCUAGUUGGUCGGGUAAAGGCCUACCAAGGCGACGAUGGUUAGCUGGUCUGUGAGGAUGAUCAGCCACAAUGGAAAUGAGACACGGUCCAGACUCCGACGGGAGGCAGCAGUGGGGAAUUUUGCGCAAUGGGGGCAACCCUGACGCAGCAACGCCGCGUGAGUGAUGAAGGCUCUUGGGUCGUAAAGCUCUGACAGAGGGAAAGAAAUGUGGGUGGCUAAUAUCCAUUCCACUUGACGGUACCCUCAAAGGAAGCACCGGCUAACUCCGUGCCAGCCGCCGCGGUAAAAC
rnacentral:rRNA from 1 species